rnacentral:rRNA from 1 species
GAAUGCUGACAUAAGUAACGAUAAAGCGGGUGAAAAGCCCGCUCGCCGGAAGACCAAGGGUUCCUGUCCAACGUUAAUCGGGGCAGGGUGAGUCGACCCCUAAGGCGAGGCCGAAAGGCGUAGUCGAUGGGAAACGGGUUAAUAUUCCCGUACUUGGUGUUACUGCGAAGGGGGGACGGAGAAGGCUAUGUUGGCCGGGCGACGGUUGUCCCGGUUUAAGCGUGUAGGUGUGUGUUCCAGGUAAAUCCGGUUCACUUUAACACUGAGGCGUGACGACGAGGCACUACGGUGCUGAAGCAACAAAUGCCCUGCUUCCAGGAAAAGCCUCUAAGCAUCAGGUAACAUCAAAUCGUACCCCAAACCGACACAGGUGGUCAGGUAGAGAAUACCAAGGCGCUUGA